AUAUCAGUCAUGCAUAGCAUAUCAAUAAGCGGAGGAAAAGAAACUAACAAGGAUUCCCUAGUAACGGCGAGUGAAGCGGGAAGAGCUCAAAUUUGAAAUCUUCAAGGUUCUACCUUGACGAAUUGUAGUUUAUAGAAGUGUUUUCUGUUAGUGGAGUGGCAAAAGUUCUUUGGAAUAGGACAUCAUAGAGGGUGAGAAUCCCGUAUUUGGUCAUUCCCUCCUAGCGUUGUGAUACACUUUCAACGAGUCGGAUUGUUUGGGAAUGCAGUCCAAAAUGGGUGGUAAAUUUCAUCUAAAGCUAAAUAUUGGCGAGAGACCGAUAGCGAACAAGUACCGUGCGGGAAAGAUGAAAAGAACUUUGAAAAGAGAGUUAAACAGUACGUGAAAUUGUCAAAAGGGAAGCGUUUGACACCAGUGUUGUUUUUCCGAAAAUCAAUUACGAAUGUUUUGUUUUUAAGAAGUUAUGACUUCAUCGGCUUGCUUCUUUCUUUACGAAACUUUCUUAAUGCACUUUUCGGUUAACAAGUCAACAUCAAUUUCUUUUGUUGUAAAAGGGUAUGAGGAAGGUGGCUUUCUUUUCGGAGAAAGUGUUUAUAGCCUUGUGCCUCUGCAAUCGGAGAGAUUGAGGUCUGCAGCGUAGAUCCUUCGGGGUUAGAUACGUUUGUGCUAAGUUAUAGCUUUUCAUAGACAACUUGUUGACUAUGUUUAGUCUUGUAGCUUACUCGCUGACGCUAUUUUACCUACGCUUAGGAUGUUGAUCUCUCACAGUCGAGC
rnacentral:rRNA from 1 species